AUAUAAUGUACUUUCUUUUUAGACCCAAUAAAAAUCACCCAAAUUGUGCCACGCGAUUUGCGUGAUUCGCCCCACUGUGCGACAAUAACAACAAAUUGUUUUUGUGGUCGCAUGGCAACAACAGAAGUCCGAUUCGUUUGAGAUGGAAAUUACCUAUAACACUUCGAGGCAGACGAGUGCAAUUGACGUGCAUGUGGUCUGACCGAAUGAUCCGAAUGUAAACAACAAAUUGUAUCUCAAAGAUACAAAAUAAACUCGUAUUCAAACCAUAUAUGUAUGUAUGUAUGUAUUUUGCAAUUAUGUAUACACACAAACAACUCAAGUAUGUGAUUGGAAAAUUCGUUCAAAUGCAAAAGCGAAAUUAUGAUGAACGCCGCGUGGGGUCAGCCAACCCAACUAACAAACGAGUCUAUAUCAUAGACUCAUUUCCAGAUGCUCAGCGUCCCCCACGGUGCGCAAUGUCAGCAUCUUCAACAGUUUUUGGGACUCGAUUGCCACAAGUGUCCCCCGCUGUUGAAAGCAUAGGGAUGUAAUGAUAGUAGCCGAAUCAAAAACAUAGAUACACAAUGACCCAACUCAAAUUUAUCGGACUUGAAUUUCUUAUUCUUAAAUUUUAU